rnacentral:rRNA from 1 species
GCUAGCUACAGGCUUAACACAUGCAAGUCGAGGGGCAUCAGGAAGAAAGCUUGCUUUCUUUGCUGGCGACCGGCGCACGGGUGAGUAACACGUAUCCAGCCUGCCCUUUACUCGGGGAUAGCCUUUCGAAAGAAAGAUUAAUACCCGAUAGCAUAAUGAUUCCGCAUGGUUUCAUUAUUAAAGGAUUCCGGUAAAGGAUGGGGAUGCGUUCCAUUAGGUUGUUGGUGAGGUAACGGCCCACCAAGCCUUCGAUGGAUAGGGGUUCUGAGAGGAAGGUCCCCCACAUUGGAACUGAGACACGGUCCAAACUCCUACGGGAGGCAGCAGUGAGGAAUAUUGGUCAAUGGGCGCUAGCCUGAACCAGCCAAGUAGCGUGAAGGAUGAAGGCUCUAUGGGUCGUAAACUUCUUUUAUAUAAGAAUAAAGUGCAGUAUGUAUACUGUUUUGUAUGUAUUAUAUGAAUAAGGAUCGGCUAACUCCGUGCCAGCAGCCGCGGUAAUACGGAGGAUCCGAGCGUUAUCCGGAUUUAUUGGGUUUAAAGGGAGCGUAGGUGGACUGGUAAGUCAGUUGUGAAAGUUUGCGGCUCAACCGUAAAAUUGCAGUUGAUACUGUCAGUCUUGAGUACAGUAGAGGUGGGCGGAAUUCGUGGUGUAGCGGUGAAAUGCUUAGAUAUCACGAAGAACUCCGAUUGCGAAGGCAGCUCACUGGACUGCAACUGACACUGAUGCUCGAAAGUGUGGGUAUCAAACAGGAUUAGAUACCCUGGUAGUCCACACAGUAAACGAUGAAUACUCGCUGUUUGCGAUAUACAGUAAGCGGCCAAGCGAAAGCAUUAAGUAUUCCACCUGGGGAGUACGCCGGCAACGGUGAAACUCAAAGGAAUUGACGGGGGCCCGCACAAGCGGAGGAACAUGUGGUUUAAUUCGAUGAUACGCGAGGAACCUUACCCGGGCUUAAAUUGCAGUGGAAUGAUGUGGAAACAUGUCAGUGAGCAAUCACCGCUGUGAAGGUGCUGCAUGGUUGUCGUCAGCUCGUGCCGUGAGGUGUCGGCUUAAGUGCCAUAACGAGCGCAACCCUUAUCUUUAGUUACUAACAGGUUAUGCUGAGGACUCUGGAGAGACUGCCGUCGUAAGAUGUGAGGAAGGUGGGGAUGACGUCAAAUCAGCACGGCCCUUACGUCCGGGGCUACACACGUGUUACAAUGGGGGGUACAGAAGGCAGCUAGCGGGUGACCGUAUGCUAAUCCCAAAAGCCUCUCUCAGUUCGGAUCGAAGUCUGCAACCCGACUUCGUGAAGCUGGAUUCGCUAGUAAUCGCGCAUCAGCCACGGCGCGGUGAAUACGUUCCCGGGCCUUGUACACACCGCCCGUCAAGCCAUGGGAGCCGGGGGUACCUGAAGUACGUAACCGAAAGGAUCGUCCUAGGGUAAAACUGGUGACUGGG